GAUGAACGCUGGCGGCGUGCCUAAUACAUGCAAGUCGAGCGAACAGACGAGGAGCUUGCUCCUCUGACGUUAGCGGCGGACGGGUGAGUAACACGUGGAUAACCUACCUAUAAGACUGGGAUAACUUCGGGAAACCGGGGCUAAUACCGGAUAAUAUAUUGAACCGCAUGGUUCAAUAGUGAAAGACGGUUUUGCUGUCACUUAUAGAUGGAUCCGCGCCGCAUUAGCUAGUUGGUAAGGUAACGGCUUACCAAGGCAACGAUGCGUAGCCGACCUGAGAGAGUGAUCGGCCACACUGGAACUGAGACACGGUCCAGACUCCUACGGGAGGCAGCAGUAGGGAGUCUUCCGCAAUGGGCGAAAGCCUGACGGAGCAACGCCGCGUGAGUGAUGAAGGUCUUCGGAUCGUAAAACUCUGUUAUUAGGGAAGAACAAAUGUGUAAGUAACUAUGCACGUCUUGACGGUACCUAAUCAGAAAGCCACGGCUAACUACGUG
rnacentral:rRNA from 1 species